CUGAAACCCUAACUCCUCUCCCUUCCCCUUCACCUCUCUCUUCCUUCUUAGCUCAGAUCCGCGCAGCCCUUAUUGCCUCACCUGGCCGCCACCCCUCAACCCACUUGCGCUCACCCACUCAUAGAUGUCGCCGCCUAGGCUCACUGUGGAGCGCGACCCGGCCACCGCGUCCUCCCCCUCCGUGCACCACCGUAUCCAGGAGAAUGCCGCCACGAAGGUCCGGUGUCUGCAAGCGGCAAGAGCGGCGCAGUUGCUAACAAGGGGGCGAUGGGUGGGGCUACAACAGUGCUUCCUCAUGGCCUCCCCCAAACCAACAACGCUUUCCUGUCUGGAGAUCCGCCGCCACCCUUCUCACCUCAACUUGUAGCAACAACGGGAGCGGUCGGAUCCACGGGUUCCUCCACCAUUCCGCCACGGCAGCCUGAGCAUGGUGCCCUUCUCCAUCGAGGCACCAUUCCAUCUCGGCGCCUGCGGCCACCGCCAGAUCCACGGGUGACCUCGCGCCAGAAGGUGCACUUGAUUUGCCCCAUGGGUAGUAUUUCUCUUGCUUUGCCCCCCACUGGGAUCUGCUCCCUCCCUCUCUAGAUUACCACAUGUUGCUUUGCUUUGAUUUGUGUUUCCGUGGUGUGGUUUUUGUGCUAGCUAGGAAAGGUCCGCCUAAUUAAUCUAUGCUACGCUGGCAGUGUAUGCCCCACAACUAAACUGUCCAUCAUGCAGAACUGGUGGAGUCAAUGGUUUUGGCCUGUCCUCCUGAGUGUUCCAAGUACAGAGGAACUAUGGAUGUUUUUUUUUUCCUUUCCUAAACAAAGUGAUGGUAUUUAUAUUUCAAUGUGGACUGCAUACAUUUUCAUUAGGCAAUGCACAUUUGGAGAACUGAAAGACAUCUUAUAAACUCUUUUAGUAGUUUAGCAGUGCUAACGAAAAUUUCCUACCUAAAUUUUAUUUGAAGAAAAAGGAUUCAUAAUUCAAUUUGAAUGAUGCAUACUCAUGCUGAUGUACCAAAGUGUUCACCACAUUUUCUUUCUUAACAAUUGAAGAAUAAUUUGAACACAAACCUAUAAAGUGCCCAGACUAGCUAUUGGGUGUUUCUACUGAACUUGAAACCCACACUCUUCCAUAAUUCAUUGGUGCCUUAACCGAAGCAAUAGGAGUAUGCUGAUUUCUUUUAUGUCAGCUCACACAUAAGAUUGCUUGCUAUUACUGAUUGUCUGCUUCUAUUUGCAAUGAGCUGCAAGAUUGUUGGCAGUUGGCACACUUCAUACCUUUUCGAAGGACAGUAUUAAAAUAUGGCACUUCAUACCUUUAUUCUACGAGGAGUUUUUCUAUUAUUCUCAUAUUGAUUACUUCUAUAAAAUGUCAAGUCUAUUAAUAUAGCUAUAGAAUUUGUGCAGACAGCUGUCAAACUCAGUGAAUGCUCCAUUCUCUAUGCACUUCUUAUAUGGAUCGCGUGCACAACCAACAUAGAUGCAGCACUCAGCCCCUUUUUAUAUGGUUAUGUUCAUGUUCUUUAUCAUUUAUGUAUCUUGUUGCUGCCAAUGCUCCAUUCUAUAUGCACUUAUGGAUCAUGUGCACAACAAACACAACAACUGUAUGCAUUGUACCCAUGUUAGGCCCAUAGUUCGUCACUGAUGCAGACUAGUAAAGUGGUUACUUAUUUUAGCCAAUUUGUGUGGACACUAAUAACGCCUUUUAGUAGUGAAUAAACCUGUUGCAAUUUAACUUGUAAUCAAUAUCAAUUGCUAUCUAGUGUAGUACUCUUUUGCAAUGCAUAUAGUAUGAAGUUUGAUUGACAUUAAGCACCACUGCUUUGCUAACAAUAUAUGCCCUACUGUUAUGACAAUGCCUUGAUGCUGUCUAUGGAUGUGUACAUGAGUUUGCUUUUCAUUUCAAAGCCAAGAUUUGUUCUUCUCUUAUUUGCUUUAAUAUAUGCCAGAUUUGGUGUGUGAAUUUUCUAGUUCGGCUAUUGGUAGGAUCUAUCUUGUCCAUCCAAGUCUUCCUGUCCACUAAUCCAAAUUAAUGAGUUCAUGUGCUGCUAGUCUUGUAGCAUGAUCAUCAGAAUUGUACUCUCCACAUAUAUUGUCCACUUAUCCAAAUUAAUGAUUUUAUUUGAUACACUGUUCACUAGGAUAUUCUGACAUCACGGUAAGAAUUUUUCUUUUGUUUGUCGUGAACUUUCUGCAAUGGAUAUCAAGAUAACUGUAAAUUAUCAAUUCAAUAUAUGCCCGACUGGUUCAUUGUGAGCUUUGUUUCAUUGCCACAUGUUGAACAUGGUAUUUGCCUAUCAGUGAACUAUAGGAUUUCAAUGUGCACUAAUCCAUUUCAUGGGAGUGUAUAGCUUUUAUUACAUUCACUUCUAUUGAUUUCUCAGAUGCUGAUGUGCGGUUAACAAGGAGGAUCCGUCAUGAUACCAUUGAGAAGGGUAGAGAUAUCAAGACUGUGUUAGAUCAGUACUCAAAGUUUGUUAAGCCUACUUUUGAAGAUUUCAUCCUGCCAACGAAGAAAUAUGCUAAUAUUAACAAUGAGUGACACUAUUGUUCUUAAAAUGGUAAAGCCGUUCACCAGUCUAUCUUCUUUCACUAAGAAACAAAGGAAGAAUUGUGGCCAAAGUGAAGUUGUCACCUACUGAUGGCAAACUCGAGAUUGGAGGAAGCAUGCUUGGAAAGGAAUACGUUGGGGUUUAUGUUGAAGGUCUUGAAAAUGACAGUAGAAAUAAAGGAGAUGAGCUGAUACCUUGACCUAUUUUUAAGAUUCGUACACUAAUAGAUGCUAUUGGCUACGUUAUUCCUUGGCCCCGUUCACAUGUGAAGAAAGCUACAAGUUCAAAUCUUAAACAACCUGGUGAUGUAACUUUUCAAGGAAGAAGUGAAGCCACUAUAGAGAGGGGCAAGAAUGAGCAAUGAAGCGUAGGUUUGAGUUGUUAGUGAAAACAUUUAGAAAUAAUAGCAUGAUAUUGUCACUUUGUCUGUGUUUCUUUAUUAAGGCAAUUAUCUUGUUGACAGUAUUUUAAUUAAUGGACAUGUUGGUUCUUGAAUGAAGUACCAGUUUCUUUUUUGUGAA